rnacentral:rRNA from 1 species
GAUCAAAUGCAAGUCGAACGGUAACAGGGAGCAGCUCGCUGCUCUGCUGACGAGUGGCGGACGGGUGAGUAAUGUCUGGGGAUCUGCCCGAUGGAGGGGGAUAACCACUGGAGACGGUGGCUAAUACCGCAUAACGUCGCAAGACCAAAGUGGGGGACCUUCGGGCCUCACACCAUCGGAUGAACCCAGAUGGGAUUAGCUAGUAGGUGGGGUAACGGCUCACCUAGGCGACGAUCCCUAGCUGGUCUGAGAGGAUGACCAGCCACACUGGAACUGAGACACGGUCCAGACUCCUACGGGAGGCAGCAGUGGGGAAUAUUGCACAAUGGGCGCAAGCCUGAUGCAGCCAUGCCGCGUGUAUGAAGAAGGCCUUCGGGUUGUAAAGUACUUUCAGCGGGGAGGAAGGGAGCAAGGUUAAUAACCUGGUUCAUUGACGUUACCCGCAGAAGAAGCACCGGCUAACUCCGUGCCAGCAGCCGCGGUAAUACGGAGGGUGCAAGCGUUAAUCGGAAUUACUGGGCGUAAAGCGCACGCAGGCGGUCUGUCAAGUCGGAUGUGAAAUCCCCGGGCUCAACCCGGGAACUGCAUUCGAAACUGGCAGGCUAGAGUCUUGUAGAGGAGGGUAGAAUUCCAGGUGUAGCGGUGAAAUGCGUAGAGAUCUGGAGGGAUACCGGUGGCGAAGGCGGCCCCCUGGACAAAGACUGACGCUCAGUUGCGAAAGCGUGGGGAGCAAACAGGAUUAGAUACCCUGGUAGUCCACGCCGUAAACGAUGUCGACUUGGAGGCUGUGAGCUUGACUCGUGGCUUCCGGAGCUAACGCGUUAAGACGACCGCCUGGGUAGUACGGCCGCAAGGUUAAAACUCAAAUGAAUUGACGGGGGCCCGCACAAGCGGUGGAGCAUGUGGUUUAAUUCGAUGCAACGCGAAGAACCUUACCUGGCCUUGACAUCCACGGAAUUCUGCAGAGAUGCGGAAGUGCCUUCGGGAACCGUGAGACAGGUGCUGCAUGGCUGUCGUCAGCUCGUGUUGUGAAAUGUUGGGUUAAGCCCCGCAACGAGCGCAACCCUUAUCCUUUGUUGCCAGCGAUUCG